GACGAACGCUGGCGGCGUGCUUAACACAUGCAAGUCGAACGGAAAGGCCCUGCUUUUGUGGGGUGCUCGAGUGGCGAACGGGUGAGUAACACGUGAGUAACCUGCCCUUGACUUUGGGAUAACUUCAGGAAACUGGGGCUAAUACCGGAUAGGAGCUCCUGCUGCAUGGUGGGGGUUGGAAAGUUUCGGCGGUUGGGGAUGGACUCGCGGCUUAUCAGCUUGUUGGUGGGGUAGUGGCUUACCAAGGCUUUGACGGGUAGCCGGCCUGAGAGGGUGACCGGCCACAUGGGGACGGAGAUACGGCCCAGACUCCUACGGGAGGCAGCAGGGGGGAAUAUUGCACAAUGGGCGGAGGCCGGAUGCAGCAACGCGGCGGGCGGGAUGACGGCCUUCGGGUUGUAAACCGCUUUCGCCUGUGCCGAAGCGUGAGUGACGGUAAUGGGUAAAGAAGCACCGGCUAACUACGU
rnacentral:rRNA from 1 species